rnacentral:lncRNA from 1 species
CAAUCUCGUUCCCAGAGUAUGCCUGUUCGCGGGUUAGGUAGUGGCAUGACUCUGGGGAAAUCGAAUCUAAAUCGUUAUUUGAUUGGCUGCCGUGAUCAUCAAUGCUGCCGACACAAUUAAUGCGUGGUUUUUUGCGAGAAUUACGCGUGGACAUACGCGAAGAGAGAAUUAUCAAUAUUUAUCAGAUUGGAAUGCGAAAUCAAACGAUAUAUAUCGAAGGAUAUGAUAUUAAUCGUAUGAAAAAGUAUUGGGUAUAUACUUACAAAUUGGCAUGGUAUAUAUAUAUAUAUCGAUCUACAGUACGAGUAUAUUCAUUAUAACCAUGAAAGAAUUGGGCCCAAUUGGCUAUUGAAAUCAUCGCACACGUUGUCGUUUUGUUAAAUUGACAUAUUGUUGCCAGGACUUUGGAGUGACAGCUUUUGCUUGUGUUAAAAACUUGAAGCUUUAAACAAUACAGUACAUUAUGGUCAAUGGUCAACACUCAACAUGUUGUAGCCUGUGGUCUUUGUGCUUUUGUAAAUGGAGUUAUCUAUAUAAAUUUAAGAUGCCAGGUGUUUUUGUAGCAUCUGUAUAAAUUAUAGAAUAAUUGAUUUAAGAAGUUCCUCAGGUUGUAAAACAUUUGGUUAUAGGUUUGCUUUGUAAGUGAUUGCCACUUGACAGCACAUGUGAUGGGCUAUUCCAUUUAAUAUCCAUACACCCCCUGUCGAGGAUACAUGUUUUUCAUGGUUAUACCCCUGAAGAAUUUCAAACUCAAAACCUUUUACCCCUGAAGAAUUCCAAAAUUCCAAGCUCAAAACCCUUUACCCCUGAAGAUUUCCAAGCUCAAAACUUUUUACCCCUGUUCAAAGAAUUCCAAAAUUCCAAGCUGAAAUCCCUGAAGAAUUCCAAGCUCAAAACCCUUUACCCUUUAAGAAUUCCAAGCUCAAAACCCUUUUCCAGAAUUCCAGGGAUCCUCGACAGGGGGGGUAUGGAUAUUAAAUGGAAUAGCCCGAUGUAAGGCUAGAACUAAGCUAAACCUGAAACAAUUUUUACAUCAAUUUGUGUUUGGAUAAAAAAUAAGUAGUGAAUUUAAAUACAGAAGUUUCCUUGUCUGUUGCUAUGUGAAACAAUGUUGUUUAUAGCAAUAAGAGUAAUUGUUGAUCAAUAACAAUGCUCAUUUGCUAAAAAUAUACAAGUAUUGAUUCCAUUUCCAAACUAUUAUACUAUGUGAAUAUAUUGGCAAUUAAUCCAAUUAUAUAUAAAAGGAGAUACUGACAGUAGAAUUGAAAUAGCUACCAGUUUCAAUCAAAUAACUACUUUAAUUUCUGUAUCAACUAUCAAGCCUCCUGUGUAUUAUUGUUUCCUAAGCAUCAUUGAGGGGGCACUUGUUCUAAAUAUAUGCAAUAAGUCUGGUUACCGUUAAAAAAUGUCCAUAUUCAGAGUUACCGUUGUACUAUAUUUUAUUAAAAUACUGCAGAAAUGCAAUAUAUUUCAUGAUUUUAAGAAAUUGAAUGAGGGCUGCAUGGUUAAAAGAGGAGGGGCUUAUUUAUUUUUGAUUUUUGUAUCCAAAUGAGGGGGGGGGGGUUAUUGGAAAGGGGCUUGACGAGAAGGGGGCUAAAUAUAGAAAUUACAGUACCUCCAUUCCUUCCUCUCCCUUCCCAAACAUGCUGCAGGAGAGUGGCAACUGCAGGGGUUAAAGCCUGGAUUGCAAGGUUGAUGUAUAAUUUGCAUGUUAUGUACCUGGUAAUAUGGAGAAAUGAGCUAGUAAAUAUAUCCUUGCCUAUAAUUAGUUGCUGAUUAAAUGUUCAAAGAUACACAGUGUGAAGCAUGAAAAGCAAAAGGAAGAUACCCACUGCAAGAAUUUUUCAACAAAUAUAUAUGGAUUUGUUCACUUCAUUUCUUACUUUUGACACAAGUAAUUAUAGUAAUUAUAAUUACAAACACAAUGUACUG